AUUGAACGCUGGCGGCAUGCUUUACACAUGCAAGUCGAACGGCAGCGCGGGCUUCGGCCUGGCGGCGAGUGGCGAACGGGUGAGUAAUACAUCGGAACGUGCCCAGUAGUGGGGGAUAGCUCGGCGAAAGCCGGAUUAAUACCGCAUACGACCUGAGGGUGAAAGCGGGGGAUCUUCGGACCUCGCGCUAUUGGAGCGGCCGAUGGCAGAUUAGCUAGUUGGUGGGGUAAAGGCCUGCCAAGGCGACGAUCUGUAGCUGGUCUGAGAGGACGACCAGCCACACUGGGACUGAGACACGGCCCAGACUCCUACGGGAGGCAGCAGUGGGGAAUUUUGGACAAUGGGCGAAAGCCUGAUCCAGCAAUGCCGCGUGUGUGAUGAAGGCCUUCGGGUUGUAAAGCACCUUUGGCGGGAACGAAAAGGACUGUGCCAAUACCACGGUUCGAUGACGGUACCCGCAGAAUAAGCACCGGCUAACUACGUG
rnacentral:rRNA from 1 species